rnacentral:rRNA from 1 species
UACGAAGGGGGGCUAGCGUUGCUCGGAAUCACUGGGCGUAAAGCGCACGUAGGCGGAUCUUUAAGUCAGGGGUGAAAUCCUGGAGCUCAACUCCAGAACUGCCUUUGAUACUGGGGAUCUCGAGUCCGGAAGAGGUGAGUGGAACUCCGAGUGUAGAGGUGAAAUUCGUAGAUAUUCGGAAGAACACCAGUGGCGAAGGCGGCUCACUGGACCGGUUCUGACGCUGAGGCGCGAAAGCGUGGGUAGCAAACAGG